GACGAACGCUGGCGGCGUGCUUAACACAUGCAAGUCGAACGGAAAGGCCCUGCUUUUGUGGGGUGCUCGAGUGGCGAACGGGUGAGUAACACGUGAGUAACCUGCCCUUGACUUUGGGAUAACUUCAGGAAACUGGGGCUAAUACCGGAUAGGAGCUCUUGCUGCAUGGUGGGGGUUGGAAAGUUUCGGCGGUUGUGGAUGGACUCGCUGCUUAUCAGCUUGUUGGUGGGGUAGUGGCUUACCAAGGCUUUGACGGGUAGCCUGCCUGAGAGGGUGACCGGCCACAAUGGGACUGAGGUACGGACCAGAAUCGAACGGGAGGCAACAGUGGAGAGUAUUACAGAGUGAGCGGAAGCCUGAUGCAGCAACGCCGCGUGCGGGAUGACGGCCUUCGAGUUGUAAACCACUUUCGCCUGUGACGAAGAGUGAGUGACGGUAAUGGGUAAAGAAGCACCGGCUAACUACGUG
rnacentral:rRNA from 1 species